UACGUAGGGUGCGAGCGUUAAUCGGAAUUACUGGGCGUAAAGCGUGCGCAGGCGGUUCGUUGUGUCGGCGGUGAAAGCCCCGGGCUCAACCUGGGAAUGGCCGUUGAAACUGGCGAACUGGAGUGUGGCAGAGGGGGGUAGAAUUCCACGUGUAGCAGUGAAAUGCGUAGAGAUGUGGAGGAACACCGAUGGCGAAGGCAGCCCCCUGGGUCAAGAUUGACGCUCAUGCACGAAAGCGUGGGGAGCAAACAGG
rnacentral:rRNA from 1 species